rnacentral:rRNA from 1 species
UCGGGAAUUUUGGGCAAUGGGCGAAAGCCUGACCCAGCAACGCCGCGUGAGGGAUGAAGUAUUUCGGUAUGUAAACCUCGAAAGAAUGGGAAGAAUAAAUGACGGUACCAUUUAUAAGCUCCGGCUAACUACGUGCCAGCAGCCGCGGUAAUACGUAGGGAGCAAGCGUUGUUCGGAUUUACUGGGCGUAAAGGGCGCGUAGGCGGCGCGGUAAGUCACUUGUGAAAUCUCUGAGCUUAACUCAGAACGGCCAAGUGAUACUGCUGUGCUAGAGUGCGGAAGAGGCAACCGGAAUUCUUGGUGUAGCGGUGAAAUGCGUAGAUAUCAAGAGGAACACCUGAGGCAAAGGCGGGUUGCUGGGCCGACACUGACGCUGAUGCGCGAAAGCCAGGGGAGCAAACG